rnacentral:rRNA from 1 species
UAAUACGGAGGUGGCGAGCGUUACUCGGAUUUACUGGGUGUAAAGGGCAGGUAGGCGUCUCGAUAAGUUCUUGGUGAAAUCCUUCUGCUUAACAGAAGAAGUGCCUGGAAAACUAUCGAGAUUGAGACUAGGAGAGGAGAGUGGAAUUCCCGGUGUAAGGGUGAAAUCUGUAGAUAUCGGGAGGAACACCAGUAGCGAAGGCGGCUCUCUGGCCUAGAACUGACGCUGAGCUGCGAAAGCUAGGGGAGCAAACAGGAUUAGAUACCCUGGUAGUCCUAGCCAUAAACGAUGAGCACUAGGUGUUGGCUCUGAAUAAGGGUCAGUGCCGUAAGAUAACUCGUUAAGUGCUCCACCUGGGGACUACGGCCGCAAGGCUA